UUGAAAGAAGAGCCAUCUUCCAAGAAAAGCCUCGCCGUUUCCUCUGUUGCAACUUUCCCUGGCAUAUUACGUGCAGGAUGGUCCAGCUAUGUCUGUCUGCUGGGGUUACUAUCGUAGAUUCGUCCUGAGGCCUAACACGUGAGCUCCACACUACAAUACAGUUUGGAACAAAAGAUUGUGUGCUAGCCUAGGUUCAAAACCACAGCAGCGGAACUUGCUGUGGCUCACUGAACAACACGUAUUCCUGCUCGACCCUUAAUGAGUCUCAGUAAAAGUCGCAAUCCGCCAACAAAGACACAUCCUUUCACGAAACCUUCCUAUGAAGGAAGUGACGUGCCCACAACGGGCGGUGAAGCCAGAAAUGGGACAGGAUCAAUGCCAGACUGAGUUCAAGACUAGGAGGAAACCAGAGUACCCAGAGGAAACCCACACAGACAGUUGCCCAAGGGUGGAAUUGAACCUGGAACCCUGGUGCUGUGAUGUAGUAAUGCUAACCACUGAGCCACCAUGCGAAAACCUCCCAGGGAAGACCCAUCCCCCAACAAAUAGAGUCAUUGUUACCUUGUGAUGGAGAUCCGUGGAUGUGCACACUAAGCUCAAAGGGAUCUUCAGAGUCCAAUAAAUGAUGUCAUCAAUCGGACUAAGUAGCCAGUCACAAUGGAGAAUGAUCACAGAGAGCAAAGCGGUCAGCAAAAACUAUUGAGCCUUUACCUGUCAACAUUUCACUUGCAGCGAAAUUGUGAUU